rfam:Gossypium raimondii Chr08_contig_236, whole genome shotgun sequence.
UACGUAAGCGCGAGAUGCUGAUGUGGAAGGAAAUCGCGUCCUUGAAGGAGUGAUUUCCUUCCACGUCAGCAUCUCGCGCUUACGUGG